UACAGAGGUGGCAAGCGUUGUUCGGAAUUACUGGGCGUAAAGGGCGCGUAGGCGGCCUUCUAAGUCAGACGUGAAAUCCCCCGGCUUAACCUGGGAACUGCGUCUGAUACUGGGAGGCUUGAGUAUGGGAGAGGGAUGUAGAAUUCCAGGUGUAGCGGUGAAAUGCGUAGAUAUCUGGAGGAAUACCGGUGGCGAAGGCGGCUUCCUGGACGGAUUAUUGACGCUGAGGCACGAAAGCGUGGGGAGCAAACGGG
rnacentral:rRNA from 1 species